rnacentral:rRNA from 1 species
AUGGCCGGCGCUGCUGUUGGAGAGAUGGUGUGCAGAGUUUGUUUGAGCCCUUGCUACCGCGAGAGCAGGACAAGUGGGAUGAGCAUGUUUGUCUGGAAUGAGUUCAAAAACGCAGGGGUUGUGCCAUUCAACGAAAGAGUUGGUUUCAACGACUUGACAGGGGAUACACUGAAGUUUAAGGCAAACAAACGAACAUACACCGUUAAGUGUCACAAGGGGCCCACAAAGAGCGCAAUGUAUGGUAGUGGAUGGAGGAAAUUUGUUGCAGACAACAAGUUGGGGAAGGGUCAGCUAGUUCUCUUCUACUUGGACCAGCCUUCCCCAAGGGCAGUUUUUCUGUGUGAUUCAAUUCGAAAUGGUGCCGAAGAUGAAGGAUCUGAGGGUGAGAAUGACUACAUGGAAGUCUCAGAUGAAGAAGACGAGGAUAUACAAGCUGACAACGUACAAUGCUGA